ACGAACGCUGGCGGCGUGCUUAACACAUGCAAGUCGAGCGGAAAGGCCCCUUCGGGGGUACUCGAGCGGCGAACGGGUGAGUAACACGUGAGCAACCUGCCCCUGACUCUGGGAUAAGCCCGGGAAACUGGGUCUAAUACCGGAUGUGACGCACUCUCGCAUGGGAUGUGUGUGGAAAGUUUUUCGGUUGGGGAUGGGCUCGCGGCCUAUCAGCUUGUUGGUGGGGUGAUGGCCUACCAAGGCGACGACGGGUAACCGGCCUGAGAGGGCGACCGGUCACACUGGGACUGAGACACGGCCCAGA
rnacentral:rRNA from 1 species